ensembl:miRNA gga-mir-12216 gga-mir-12216
CGGGCGGGGGCGCGGGGUGCUGAGCCGUCCUUUGGGGUCUCUCCCCGCGUGGGCCUCCCCCCGCUCAGCACCCCUCCGUCCCCGCAGU